GUACAAUGGAUGAGGGCUGCACAGAGGCCAAGAGAGCUCCUCAGUGUUUUGGGGUUGUAAAAAUGGUUUUCCCAGGGAGAGGCUCAUCCAUUGCACUGUGCUGUUGACCCUUGUGAUUUUCCUAAAUGUGGGGAACUCAACUACAUAAUUUAUGUUAAUGGGGGCAUUAUGUUUGUGAUUUCUCUG
rnacentral:snRNA from 1 species